rnacentral:misc_RNA from 1 species
UUCAAAUUCUCAUGAACUAUUAUAAACAAACCUGUGUUAAAAUUGUUUGAUAUAUAAUUUAUAUAAAUAGAAAAUUAAAACAAAUAUUUCAGAUUUAUAAAUAAAAAAUAUUUGUUGACAUAAUUGUUACAUUAUAUAUAUAUAUUUAGAUAUAUAUAUAUUUUAUACAACCUAUCGGAAAAUAAAUAUUAAUAAAUACUAAAUUAAGAGCAAAAAAAAAUAUUUUUUGAAAAUGUCAUUAAGAAAAUUCAUGCAUCCAAGAAAUAAAUAUAAAAAAAUACCAGAUUUCAAAGAACUUGCUUUAUUAUAUCCAGAGUUUCGUAAUAUUGCAAAUAUUGAUUUAACAGGAAAGAUAAAGAUUGACUUCAAAAAUGAAGAAAGCCUACGUGUGCUUACAGAAGUUUUAUUAAAACAUGAUUUUAAUUUAGAAGUAAAAAUACCUUCAAAUAAAUUAGUACCAACUCUACCAUUACGAAUAAAUUAUAUUUUAUGGAUUGAAGAUUUAAUGAAAUAUAUUUCUUUUAUUGAAAUGCAAGAAAUAAUUGGCAUAGAUAUUGGUACUGGGGCAGUUUGCAUUUAUCCUUUAUUGUUUGCAAAAAUGUAUGGAAAUCAAAUGAUUGGUACGGAAGUUGAUGAAACAAGCAUACAAACAGCAAUUCAACAUAUUGAAAAUAAUAAAUUGCAUCAUAUAAUAAAAGUAUUUAAAGUAAAUGAAGGAACAAUAUUGAAGGAUAUUAUAAAAGGAAAUAAUAUCUAUCACUUUACAAUAUGUAAUCCACCUUUUUUUGAGAUAGAAGAAUUAUCAGAAAAAAUAAUAAAACGUUUACCACCAAGAAAUGCUUCAACAGGAAACAAAGUUGAACUUACAGUUCAAGGUGGUGAAAGAGCAUUUGUAACACAAAUGAUUAAAGAAAGUAUAGAGAUUAAAGAAAAAAUAAAAAUUUAUACCACAAUGUGUGGUAAAAGAAGUAAUUUAUUAUUUUUAUUAAAAUUUCUAAAACAAAAAAAUAUAGAAAAUGUGACAUGGACAGAAUUUUGUCAAGGUCACACAAAACGAUGGGGAUUGGCUUGGUCAUUUUUACCAAAAGAUGUUGUUAAUUUAAUAAAUGCUCCAGUUAUUAGAAAAAGUGAAGAUUAUAUUGCAAAAUUACUUAGACAACAACAUCCAAUAGAGAUACAAUUUCCAAUACAACAUAGAUUUCUUUCUUUUGAUAAUUUAGUUAAUUUUUUGGAAGAAACAAUGAAAGAAUUAAAUAUACAAAUCAAAGAAUUAAAUUUGCCAAUUGACAAUUUUAAUGGUUGGUCAUGUCAACUAAUUGCAGAAAAUGAUACAUGGUCACAUGCACGUAGAAAACGUCGAUUAGCUCAAAGAUUAAUGAAUCAAUUUAUAGAUCAUAACACAAAAUGUUUAACUACAACAAAUGAUAUAGAAUAUUCUACAAAGAAAUUAAUGAAAAAUACUUCAAAAAAUAUAAUUGAAGAUCAAACAAUUAAAGAAUUACAAGAAACUGUUAUAAAAGAACCUUUGUUAAUAUGUAACUUUUUUGCUGAAUUAAUAGAACAUGAAGAAGCUAAAAAUAAUGAUGUAAAAAUAUUUAUGGUCCUUGAAAAAGGAACUGGUGGCAAAAAUGCUUUAGAAACAUUUCGACAAUAUUUAAUAAAUAAAUUAGAUAUUAGAGAAUAUUUUCAAAAAUUACAUGAAAAAUCAAAUAAAAAGAAACGAAAACGAUUAAAAACAAGCAAAAUUGAAAUGAAUUUGAAUCAAAUUAAAAAUUUUGUAUAAGAUAUCACUUUAUGUUCCAUACAAAAUGAUUUAUUUUAUGUAAACUUUAUAGUCAUCAUAUAACAAAAAUUAUGUAACAGAUUCAAAUUUUCGCAUAAAAUGAGGAUAAAACAACGGUGAUAGAAAAAUGAAAGAAAGUUUUUUUUUUCGUAAUGUAUACGAAUGGUAUAAAAACGAUUAACAAAGCUAUAUAAAUUUAUCUUGUUGAAUACAAUGCAAAUACUAUCUUUUAUUAAUUUUUGUAUAAUCUAUAUUGUUUUUAAACAUGUAUUAUUUAUGAAAAAUCUAUCAAUAUUCUUUAGAAGAAAAUUAUCUAUAGUAUUCAUAUUGAAUUCAACAAGACUAACCUCAAAUUAGCAAUAUCUAAAAAUAGAAAACAUGACUUUAAUAUAUAUUCCAUGUAUCGAUAGCAACUAAAAUGAAUGACAUUAAUGCCUAAAUGGCACAAAACAUGAUUUCAUAUAUGUAAUAAUAAAAUAGCUUAUAGAAAAAAA